rnacentral:rRNA from 1 species
AGAGUUUGAUCCUGGCUCAGAACGAACGCUGGCGGCGUGGAUAAGACAUGCAAGUCGAACGCUAAUUUCAGGGUAGCAAUAUUCUGAGGUUGGAGUGGCGCAAGGGUGCGUAACACGUGGGUAAUUUGCCGUGAAGUUGGGGAUAACUCGCUGAAAGGCGAGCUAAUACCGAAUACGAUCAUUGGGAGGCAUCUUUUGAUGAUCAAAGUUGGGGACCGCAAGGCCUGACGCUUCACGAUAAGCCCGCGGCCUAUCAGCUAGUUGGUGAGGUAACGGCUCACCAAGGCUAAGACGGGUAGCUGGUCUGAGAGGACGACCAGUCACACUGGAACUGAGACACGGUCCAGACACCUACGGGUGGCAGCAGUCGAGAAUUUUUCUCAAUGGGCGAAAGCCUGAAGGAGCGACGCCGCGUGGGGGAUGAAGGGCUUCGGCUCGUAAACCCCUGUCAUUUGCGAACAAACCUUACGGUUGAACAAACCGUGAGCUGAUUGUAGCGAAAGAGGAAGGGACGGCUAACUCUGUGCCAGCAGCCGCGGUAAUACAGAGGUCCCAAGCGUUGUUCGGAUUCACUGGGCGUAAAGGGUGCGUAGGUGGCAGGGUAAGUUUGAUGUGAAAUCUCCGGGCUUAACCCGGAAACUGCAUUGAAUACUAUCCCGCUUGAGGGUUGGAGGGGGGACUGGAAUACUUGGUGUAGCAGUGAAAUGCGUAGAUAUCAAGUGGAACACCAGUGGCGAAGGCGAGUCCCUGGACAACUCCUGACACUGAGGCACGAAAGCUAGGGGAGCAAACAGGAUUAGAUACCCUAGUAGUCC